GCGGGUAUAGUACAAUGGUUAGUACGUCAGGUUGCCAAUCUGAAUAUACGGGUUCGAUUCCCGUUACCCGCUCCA
rnacentral:tRNA from 2 species